rnacentral:rRNA from 1 species
CCUACGGGAGGCUGCAGUGAGGAAUAUUGGUCAAUGUACGAGAGUCUGAACCAGCCACGUAGCGUGCAGGAUGACUGCCCUAUGGGUUGUAAACUUCUUUUAUAUGGGAAUAAAACGUUCCACGUGUGGGAUUUUGUAUGUACCCUAUGAAUAAGGAUCGGCUAACUCCGUGCCAGCAGCCGCGGUAAUACGGAGGAUCCGAUCGUUAUCCGGAUUUAUUGGGUUUAAAGGGAGCGUAGGUGGAUUGUUAAGUCAGUUGUGAAAGUUUGCGGAUCAACCGUAAAAUUGCAGUUGAAACUGGCAGUCUUGAGUACAGUAGAGGUGGGCGGAAUUCGUGGUGGAGCGGUGAAAUGCGUAGAUAUCACGAAGAACUCCGAUUGCGAAGGCAGUUCACUGGACUGCAACUGACACUGAGGCUCGAAAGUGUGGGUAUCAAACAGGAUUAGAUACCCGAGUAGUC